rnacentral:rRNA from 1 species
AGAGUUUGAUCCUGGCUCAGAUUGAACGCUGGCGGCAUGCUUUACACAUGCAAGUCGAACGGCAGCACGGGUGCUUGCACCUGGUGGCGAGUGGCGAACGGGUGAGUAAUGCACCGGAACGUACCCAGUAAUGGGGGAUAACACAUCGAAAGAUGUGCUAAUACCGCAUACGCCCUGAGGGGGAAAGCGGGGGAUCGUAAGACCUCGCGUUAUUGGAGCGGCCGAUGCCGGAUUAGCUAGUUGGUGAGGUAAGAGCUCACCAAGGCGACGAUCCGUAGCUGGUCUGAGAGGACGACCAGCCACACUGGGACUGAGACACGGCCCAGACUCCUACGGGAGGCAGCAGUGGGGAAUUUUGGACAAUGGGCGCAAGCCUGACCCAGCCAUGCCGCGUGAGUGAAGAAGGCCUUCGGGUUGUAAAGCUCUUUCGCAAGGAAAGAAAACUUAUCU